rnacentral:rRNA from 1 species
AGUGAACGCUGGCGGUAGGCCUGACACAUGCAAGUCGAACGGCAGCACAGUAAGAGCUUGCUCUUACGGGUGGCGAGUGGCGGACGGGUGAGGAAUACAUCGGAAUCUACUUUUUCGUGGGGGAUAACGUAGGGAAACUUACGCUAAUACCGCAUACGACCUACGGGUGAAAGCAGGGGAUCUUCGGACCUUGCGCGAUUGAAUGAGCCGAUGUCGGAUUAGCUAGUUGGCGGGGUAAAGGCCUACCAAGGCGACGAUCCGUAGCUGGUCUGAGAGGAUGAUCAGCCACACUGGAACUGAGACACGGUCCAGACUCCUACGGGAGGCAGCAGGGGGGAAUAUUGGACAAUGGGCGCAAGCCUGAUCCAGCCAUACCGCGUGGGUGAAGAAGGCCUUCGGGUUGUAAAGCCCUUUUGUUGGGAAAGAAAAGCAGCAGGUUAAUACCCCGCUGUUCUGACGGUACCCAAAGAAUAAGCACCGGCUAACUUCGUG